GUGCCUGCUUCAGCAGCACAUAUACUAAAAUUGUAACGGUACAGAGAAGAUUAGCGUAGCCCCUGUGCAUAGAUGAUAUGCAAAUUUGUGAAGCAUUACAUUUUUUA
ensembl:snRNA U6 U6 spliceosomal RNA